AGCCACAGUCAUAUCACCCUGCAGCUCAAGACCAGUUACUCACUGAAGCUGAGCAGGGCAGAGCCUGGUCAGUACCUGGGUGGUAGACAUCAUGGGAACACUAGGUUGCUGUUGGUA
ensembl:rRNA 5S_rRNA 5S ribosomal RNA